UAAAAGCAGGGAGAAUCUCCAUGUUGACACAUUUAGAAGUUUACACUUGGUUACGUUUAACUUGCACCGUUGGCAUUGUUCUGGGUGCAAAUCUGUACCAAAAUAACUCGCCUUCACAGGUUCUUGUGAACGCUGUGCAUCCAGACAAGGAUUACUCAAAAUGGCAACAAAAUAAAUCUUAAUUGAAAUCAGUUUUUUAUUCUCAAAAUCUUAUUAUGGGCAAAAAUGGAGACAUACCUUAUAUGCAAAGCUAAGAAUUUCUUGUUGGUCUAAUUGAAAUCUUAGUAGACUUAAAUAAAACACAUUAAAUACUUUUCACUGUUAAAAAAAAAAGUCAGUUUAAAUUGUUGCAACGAAACACACACAAGCAUACACACACUGGUGGAGUGUAAGGUUGAUGUCUUUCUCCUUGUCUGUCAUGAGGAAUAUGAUGUUGGCAGCUUCAUCACUCUAGGCUCCACUUGGGGCUAUUUUCAUGUUUGCUGACACACUUAUACACCACCUUAUUUCUUCACUGAUGUACAAGUACAUUGCAUCCACGCUUACAAUAUACAGUGCAUUUUACAUGUGUUGGAUUCUUGGGUUUUACACACAGAUUUGGCAGAGUUGGAAGGGACCUCUAGAGAUCAUCUAGUCCAGCUCCCCUGCUAAGCAGGAUUGCCCAGAGCACAUCACUCAGGACUGCAUCCAGGAGGGCCUUGAAAAUCUCCAGAGAAGGAGACUCCACAACCUCUCUGGGCAGCCUGUUCCAGCCUGAUUUGUUCUCUUUUACUCCUAACACUGGUUUUGUCCAGCUCCAAAUUGUGUGUAUCUUUGACCAUGGCCGAGUACUUGAAUCCUUAGUGUUAUAAAAGAAAAGGAAAAAAAGAAGAAACAUCUAGAAAAUGUAUCCAAAAUGCCCAAGAUCCCUUUUCUUCCUCUCACAGAAAAAGUCUCGUGUGACAAAAACUGGAAUGUGGAUGCUCAGAAAAACAAAGUAUGCAUUAAUUGUGUUAAGGAGGUGAUGAUCUUCCAGGGAACCAGAAAUCCUUCUUUAGCAGACACAAUUGCUCUUCAAAACCACUUGAACCCGUGAGACGUCCUGGAAAGUGGUAUUUAUGUCCAUCUCUGAUGUUAACAGGAAUAAGGAGGAGAAGAACCAGACAACUGCUCUAGAAAGUCAAACAUCAGAUUAAAGAGACGUCACUUACAACAAAAAAUAUUAACAAAAAGAUCAUACUGUUUCCUACAGAUAACUGUAGGUUCUCUGUAGGUUCUUGCAAGGCAUCACCACGCUAAAGCAGAAGAAAGUUGUGGAUACUUUCAUAUGCUGCAAGUGCUCUGUCAAUCUUAAUGUGAUCCAAAAUGGUUCUGGGAAUAUGUGUGGGCAUUGCUGGGGAAGGGAUUGCUUUGGGCUUGCUCUGGUGUGGCCUCAGGCACUGACAGCCAAUAGGAGUUGGAAUUUGUUUCCUGUGCUCCUGAAGAUCAUGUGGUUUAGUUUCCCCUAGAAGAAAUCCACUUCAUUUUCGCCAACACAAUUCUGUGAUGUGAACUGAAGUGCAGUAAAAAGGGAUGAUCCUGAUCUGAAUUAAAAUACUAAUGUAGGCACAUCUUGUAUGGGAUCAGAACCAUGGUGAUUAAAGCUCUUAAGAGGCAUUUUUUAAUUACUGGAGCAUCUUGCAGUAGCGAAGAAAGUAAGAAAUUAGGCCUGGAACCACGAAGCCAAACAAAACAAGUUAAAUGCGAGAGGAAUAUGAGGUUGCAUAAUAAGUGCAGUCAACCAGCCAGUGAGAUAUUUCUGCAAGGGCCAUGACAAGAUACGAAAUUUAGCGGUAAGAGACCAGGGUCAUCUACACUUAAAUUAGAUCAAGCUGAACAAUGCAAAAUCUCUGUCCACAAGCCUGGAAAAACAUACACUCAUGGUUCAAUGAGAGGGAAAAAAUGCAAAGUAACUAUGUUGAAAGACAAGUGCACUUCAAACCGAAUCUUCUUCUGCUAACUCUGGGCCUUAUUUGUAAUGUCUUGAUCUCUUUAGCUGCAGUUGAGGGAUACUAGGCUAUAUAAAAUGCCAGCUAACAUCUUGAAUUACAAAAGGCAGGGAGAAAACCAAGAUCUGAUUCUGCGGUGAAACCAUCCACUCAGAAAGUGCUUUCCAAUGCAAAAGUAAUAACUGUGUGCUAUUAACUGUAACUGUAAACCUAAGCUCAUACGAUAUUGCGUUUAUUCCCACUGAGUGGUUCCUGUGAUUCUGCUCUUUUGCAUCUCCUUAAUCCAUGCACAUGUUACUCUAUGCAUUUUCCUUUCUGCUCUGCUACCUGCUGUCUCUGUGCCACAUGCAAUUCUUGUAAGCGUGCAGGAUUAUCUUUCCAGCAGUCGCUAGCACCGGCUGGCAUUUGCAUGCUGCUCUUAUUCAGUUCAAUUACUGACUGUCCACAGGGCAGUAAUUGCAGCUUCAGGAAGCUAAGGUUAAUGAGUAAAUUGAGUUUUAUGUCUUCCUGGGUUGUAAGAUACUGACGGUUAAAAUGCAUGUGGGUAGGAGAGAUUUAAAUCAUUGCAGUUGUGCUAGGCUGUGCUAGCAGCUCGUAAAGAAAGUCUAGGUACCUGCUGAAAUGGAAAAUGUUGUCAAUAAUGGAACCCAAAGGAGGGUGGAGGAGAGCUAUCCUGACCAGUUCAACUUCUCUUUUCCCAGUAAAUGGCAACAGUAUGCCAUUAGGUCAGUGGGGAAAAGAGAAUUUCAGGUUUUCUGCCAUAAAAUCGACUUUUGCUAUACAUUGCACAAAUCUAAGUAAGCAUCGUAAGUAAAUAUAAGUGUUUGAGAGACAAAAAGUUUAAAAGAGGGUUUUGUCUCAUGUAGGGGUCCAAAUGAAAAUUAGACAUUUGCCUCCAGGUACCUACCUAUUUGAAGUUGUCCCUAGAGUACAUCAGUUAUCAACUUGAUCAACAGGCAUCAGAGUUGAUUAAUUGAAUCAGCCAUCCAGUUCUAAUCUGCCACCAUCUAGAAACUGAAUUCCACCAAAUUAAUAUGGGGCUUUUUUUGUAUAUAUCAGUUAUUCAAAAAACUUUAGCAAGUCACUGGUUCCAGAGAAAGUAACUUGUCCCAGCUCUGCCAUGAGAAGAGGAAGCGGGGGGAGGUUAUGCUGCUAUAAUGGCUUUCUGGAAGCAGUAUGCCUUUUAAUAAAGCAUUGAGGUUUACCUUUUCCUAUAUGGCAAAAGAUAAGAGUAACUGAAAUGAAUAGGACGGAGAAUGCAAAUGCAAGUAGGGAUGUGAAGUGGUCAAACCUCACAUCUGAGAUGUUGCACACCAAGUAGUAAUUCAGCAGAGUCAGAUCUGCGCUGCGUUGCUUGGGGCACUUAGUGCCUUGCUCUCUCCGUCUUUCUUUACAUCCCCUCAGUCUCCUGUGAGGAGCUUCAGCAAAGGCUGAUGAGAGGGACCUGAACCUGUUUCCUUCCCCCUCUGGCACACUGCAACCUUAGCACGUCUGGGCAGCCUCAACUGUGAUCUCCCUUAAAAGCUCUUCAUUAGAAGAGCUGUGUCUCAGCCAUGGCCAGCACCUUGACCUCUCUCCCAAGCACAUGACCCAUCAUGUCCCCUUCUUUCUCUUUUUACUCCCUACAAGGCUGGGUUAGUGAGGCCUCGGAAGCUCAGGAACUGCUUAUCUGGGCUUUAACUGCUCAGCGUGCUUGGCCACUGUUGCUUUAGGCAAGAGAAUUAGGGGAGUGUUUGAGGAGAAAACAAAGAGAAAAUGAGGAAGGGAUGGGAGUAUAGCACAAGUAGAUUGAAUUUAGCUGAGGGAGUAGAAGUAGGGAAGCAAAGGAAGAAGACAUGAGACUAAUCAAGCAAAUUUUAAUGAGGUUCUGGGAGAAGAAAUUGUGCUCGUUAGUAUUAAACCUGCAUUGUCAGCCUGUCAGACUUACUGGGAGUGUUGCCUACUUUGUCAGCACUAGCUGAGCUGAGCCGAGCUCCUGGGGUGCCCAGAUGAGCCAUCAAAGCAGCCUCUUGCCAGUCCAAAAGGGGGUAGCUGAGCAUCCUAAAGGCUGCACACAGAAGCUCCCCAGGCAGCCCUGAAGAGCAAGCAGGGCUCAGGUCCUCGGGACAGGAUCCAAGGAGCCAUAGCAUGAAAGUCUCGUGCACAUUUCAUACCUGCAGGAUGGGACCGACAGGAGCCUCCAGAGCACUAUUGCAAUGGGAGCAGAAAAAAUAGAAGGGCUGGAGAAAAAGGAAGAAAGAAGCAGAAAUACUGAAAUGGAAGAGAGAAACUGGAACAAAUGUUGAUAAUAAAAGCACAGUCUAGAUCUUGCCAACAAAAUUGUUAGCAUAUGAGUGGAAGCAUCUUGCAACUAGAAUCCAACUGUAUGUUCUUUGGGUCUUUCUAAAAUAUGUAUGUAGGGCUAGUUUUGUGGUGGCACAGGAAACUAGCCUUCUGCUGUUGUUAAAACUGUGCCAAUAACAGCAGCAAAUCCGAUUUUUCUAUCAUGGCAAUAUUUAACUUGACAUCUCAUCUGAUGCACAAGACAGCAGAACCAAAAGGGGGAUGGAUUAAUGUGGGUAAGUAUUUUCUGCAUUGGAUAAAUCUACUUAAUGCCAUCACGUUAUACCUUCUUACUCCUCCCCUGUGGAUUCACAGGCACCUAAACAUAUGUCAAAUAGUUUGAAAAGGUUGCUGGCAAUCGGAAGGGCAGCAUCCUUGACCAUUCACCUGUGGCAGAGCCAUAAUUAAGGAAUUCCUCAAACUCUGAAUUGGAAUCAUGAGUGCCUUUAUUCUAUUUAUUUAUUUUUUAUGCUAAUGCAACACAAUAGAGUUCUAUCUUGGCCUUUCUUUGCCCUCACACCCUUUUUUUUUUUUUAAUUUCAAAAAAAUAUUGUCUAUAUUCCACGUUUCUUCUCUUAACAUAUUGUCAGAUGAGGGUGCACUCUCCUAAUGACUACUAGUUAUUUUCUAAUAAUACUAAUAUUUCCAUAACCAAAUGGGUGUUUCUAAGGGAAUGGCUACAUGAGUGCUUGCAGCUGUGUUCAAAACAUAGUACAGCCAAAGACUGUCAUGAGUGUAUGUUACACACCCAAAAUUCAGUUCCAAACAGUGUUGAGGUUGCAUUUUAAAAGCUCCUUUCAGUUCUUAGGCCUUUCUAUGAAAAUAAAAAUUCUUCAUGUUGCAGGAUUACUCAAUGGCAAAACCCAGCUGGAAGAUGACUUUUUCUCCCACUAAAACUGUGGGUGGAGAUCUGGGUUUGCAUCUUUACUCUCUAACUAUUUUCUAUUCCUGGCCAAAGCAGGAUGGGUUGGGAUUGUGAUCCUGAGCCUGUUUAAAUAACCCUUUAACAUGGGUUCUGAUUUUCUCAUUGUAGACACAAAUUUCAGAUUUGGGGUUCUGGUGUCUCCAUAGCUCUUUUCUAGGCUCUGUGCAAUUAUAUUAGCUCGUGGCUCUAAUCCUGAAGAGAGUGUAAUUUCAUCCUCACAUUUCAAAAGGUUAGUCUCUUCUCGUUAGCAAUAAGGGGUCACAUCACGUGUCUAAAAAAAAUAGUAACAUACAUCUGAAUUUCCUACCCAUGUGAGCAGUGGAAAUAUGAACAGGAGUGGGAAGGAGUCAUCACAUCAUAUACUUAACUCAUCUAAAUCUGGCUGCUUAAAUUAGAUUCCUCCACCAAGUGAAGUCAGGAGGAGUCAUCUCUUUCACUGUUAGGAAAAUCAAGAGAAAUUAGGCUCCUAAUGUAUGUAUCAAAAUAUUUGAUUGUAUUUGAUUAUGUAUCAAAUAUCUUAAAAAGGUGCUGUGAAUGUCGCCUUCUGCCCAGCCUUUCAACUGCUUAAGCUGCUAACUUACUGAUCCUGCUGAACUUUCAGAAGUACACCAGGAUGUCUUCUCUUGGGCUCUAGGCCAACAAGAAACAACAAAGAAGCUUGAAGAAUGCCAAGAAGGAAAAGUUUUCAGAAAAAAAUCCAGAGCUGGAGGAGGAGCCACAGAUGUAUGUUGCAGCCCCAACAGUAGCUGCUGCGUAAGGAGCUACACUCUCAGCAGGCAUGAGCUGCCAGAGCUUAAUAAGAAGAACUGGCCAUGGCCUUAAUAAAUAUUUGGCUGAAAGACUGAAGAAGGUCAUGUUUUGAAGACCUAACUACAGACAAUCUGAUCAUGACAGGGGUAACAAGGUAUUUCUAGGAGGCAAAGGUGUGACUUCAGCAGAGCCAGGUAGGCAGGAGCUGUCAUGGGAAAGGACAUGAACCCCAUGACCCUCGCAAAGAUGUCUAGCAUUCCCUGGGGACUGUGGUCCCUCUAAGGGACUGUCCUUGUCAUUGGUUUCAACAGCCCAAAGGUUGCAGAAACCUUUAAUCUGACUAUAGCUAGAUGAAAGCCACUUCAGGUAUACCUAGCCUUGCUGUAAUGGCAACUUUGAUUACAAUGUAGGUAUCUUCAAAAAUAGAAGAUCUUGAGAACCAAGGUCAGGAUGUGGUUAUAAGAAUUACAGGCAUUUCUAAAAGAACUGAGGAAAACAAAAACAAAAGUAAACUGAAAAAAAACAUUGAUUCUUCUGUUUUAACCCUGAUGACCAACUACAUGAAAAUGAUCUGCUGGGAGCCAUCGCAGCUGAAGCCACAAUAAAGGAAACAUCGGGUGGAUCGGCAGCAGACAUUAGAAACCUUCCCAGAGGAGUGAAGAGGACGCUGUUCCCCGCCGCCACCCUCCCGGCCAGCAGCCACAUGCCAGAGAGGCACAUCACCCGAUGCUCGGUGGUCAGAGGUUAACCACUCAGCCAGUCACCAAGGAAACGUGUGGCUCCUGUGCCCGUCGUACUGCCACCCUACAGCUUCAUAUUGGGAACGUCACCAUAAUCUCAUUAGGAGGUUGAAUUUGCCAUUGAAGCUUGAAUUCCCAUAACAGGAGGGGAGUGGACUAAUGCAAUUAAGCAAAUUAGCGUUUUGAGCCAUCGCAUGAUAUGUGUCUAAUACCAGAAGCAAAGACUAGGUAGUUUUCUUCCUCUGUUAAAAAAAAUCAGCAAAAACAAUACUCCAGUCCUCUCCCCAUGUUAUGUUCAGAGAAAUACUUUAGUCCUCUCACAGCUGUAAAGGUCCUUACAAACAAGAAGAUAAUUGUUCACUUCACCAAAAACCUGAAUGGCUUCCCCCUCUUUUUUCCUAAUACUCCCAUUCCAGUGGUUCUGAUUAUUUUUAUCUGUGCGACAUUUAUGCAUCCAAAGGUAAAGCAGAUAAAAACAGAACUUCAGGGACUUUAAAUAAUAACUAAAUUCUGCUAAUCUAGUAGCCUGGUGUCGUUGUUUUGUUUUGUUCCUCUCAUGAUAUGUGACAGUGGUUACCAGAUCAGAACAAAAUUCCUGUGAGUUUCAAAUCUGUUUUGAUGUGAAGUGUUGCUUAAGUGCUAUGAAAAACUAUUUUAAAAUAUGCCAAAUUUUCUGGAGGUAAUUCCAGCAUAUUCAGUAACUAUCUAGAAAUGCAGAUUAUUAAACACGUAAAGCAGAGCUUUUCUGCCUUUUGUUGCAGGAUUUGGAGGCUAGUCCAGUUCCCUCCUCCCUCCCUCACCCUGCCAAGUAAACAAAGCAGCAAGAGUGAACUGUAGCGAGAAUCAGGAACCAUAAAUCUCUGAAUAAUAUCCUGGCACAUGAGUUUCAA